CCGAAAAUAAGACUAAUAAUUUUUCUCGAUAACAAAAUCUAUUAGUGUUUGGUGCUGAAUAAGUUAUUACUAUUACAUGUAAUGAGGUAUUCUAUGACUCAAGUAUUUGUAUUGAAACUGUUUUAUUCAUCUUUUUUGCUAGAUUUGGCAUCACUCUCUUCUCCAGAUGGUUCAAUCUUUUCGCUAGAUUUGGCGGCAUCACUCUCUUCUUCAGAUGAUUUGGCCGUCUUCGACUCAUCGAACUCCAAUAACUAAAUUGAAACAAGGAAAAACUUAGCUUAACCAAAUCAAAUCUUAACAUUUAUAUUAAAAGAACUAAAAAAAAUUGGACCAUGUCUCCAAACCGAUAUCAUCGGUCUUUAAAACUUCAUUCUAUGUUUGAAAGUCUUAAAAUCAAAAUAAAAGCAUAGAAGUUAGUUAUCAAUGACAUAGAACAUUUGUAAAGCGAAGAAAUUUUAACUAAGGAUCAUUCAAAGUAGUUUACCAAACUUAAGAAUGAACAAUUCAAAUUUCUUUCAUGGAUAGAGUGUAAAAACUCAUAUACACACUUCUUUUAGCAGUGUCAAAUAGUAUGGUAUAAUAUCAAUGAACAAUUGUGCACUAUCAAUAUCAAUGAACAAUUGUACACAAACAACUACGAAAGCUUUUUCCACCAAGUAGAGUCAGCAAGAUAGAUCAAAAGUUGCAUAAUAAUUGUAAUGAAUUAAAACUAAAUGCGGAUCAUUUAACUCUAUCUCUUGCUUCUAACAAUUAGACUAUUCUUUGUGUGAUUAACCCUUCUUACCCAUCAUUCAACAUAUAUCUUCCCUUGCAUGCCCAAACCUCAUAAUCCGAGGCUCUACCAUUUGGGAACUACCUGAACUUCCCAUUUGGUGACUGUAUUCUUAAUCAUAUUUAUCUUGAGUAACUACUACUUAGCAAUAUUAACAUUCUCAUCUCCUCUCUUGUUUGAAAAAUUGUUAGAUGGUUUUAUUGCAAGUAAAAAACUGUGACACGUUUGUACUGACAGUUCAAAGAAAUGGUAGCUCAUAUUUGUGUGCAUGGUUACAACAGAAAACUAACAUGUUAUAUUUCAGGGGCGCGCAAAUGAGAUGCAAAAAAAGAAAAUAGACUAACAUUAUUCGAGAAAAAUAGAAAAGGAAAAAAUGAGGAAGUGAAAAAAACCUGUUUGACAUCACCGUUCCAGAUACAGUGAGCAGCCAAAAAUCCAAUAACAGCAGGUACAAUAUAUAAAAGAGCAGGCUGAAAACAAGGAAGGAUAAAAAGAAAAGUAAAAAUGUUAAUAGAGAAGAUUGAUCAACAAAACUCCAUGACAUGUUCACAUACUCUACUAGUCUGACUUGUUGGUAGUGAGUUUAACAAUACUACUGUUACAACCUCCUUUCAUGAAAAGCAUAUCAAUAGAAGAAAAAAGAAUGAAAUUACAGAACCAGUUACCUGGGCAGCUUGAAACCAGUUCAUCACAAAUAUUGUGAGGCCAAUGCCGAAAGUGUAUCCUAAAAAUGCACUCUUAAAAUAUUGGGGUUGCUUUCCUCUAGAAACAUCAAAACGCAAGGCUAAUGCUACAAAGAUUCCUGAAGGGAAAAACAUUUGUCGUCAAAAUAAAUAGAAGGGACACCAAAUUAUUAAACGGAUGUUAUUAUUUUCCUUCCAAUGCCAUACAUGGAAAUGGAUCAUAUAUCAACUGACAACAAUCAUGUACAUUUCCAAUUUCUUAUUUAACAAAUGUCUUUCAUCAUAUACAUAUUCUGAUAUCUUCUGAAACAUUAAAUUAAAAUCUUCAAAAAACUUGGUAAAUCUAUGGGGAAGAAUAGUUUCUCCAUAUAAUUUGAAUUUAUAGCCUAAUGGCUAAACUUGACUCAUCACACUAUCAAAAACAUAUGCUCCAUAUAUCUUUGCAGAGAUUGAAGUGCCAACCAUUUCAAUUAGAAACAGAGGUUUAUAGACAUAAUACCAGCAUGGCUACAGAGAACCACAUUGAAGAGAUAAAAAAUAUCCGUUUCAUUCCAUCCCAAUUCCUCCGAAAUUUCCUACUGUUGCCUAUCAGAAUACGAUAAAAAAUAUCUACUAGGUACUAAAUUUUAACAUUACAGCUCAAAAAACAGUUGCCACAUGUACAAGAAAACACAUCAACGUAAAAGAUUCCAGCCUACCAGGGAUAACAAUAUCACCAAGUCCAAGCAUCGAAAAUGGCCUUUUAGAAUCUGCUGUGGGGAACAAGAGCU
rnacentral:lncRNA from 1 species